rnacentral:rRNA from 1 species
AUGGAAAGUAUUUGUUUUGUCUUCUGUGCCAAUGCUUUUCUUAUUCGAACCUUCUUUCCUUUUUCUAUUUUUAAAGAAUAUAUUGCAUCAUUUUUUUUGGUGAAACUACUUCGCAAAGACAAAAAGAAAAGGAGAAGCAAAUGCAGCGGAUUUUUUCAAACAUGUCUACAGGAGAGGGGGGUGGGCGAAGAAAGUGCAAUGCAAAUGAAAUUACGAAACACCUCAAGCAAUAUAGAAGAAAUAAUAUGUGCAAAGUAUUAUAUCCAGUCACCGGAACGGAAUUGUUACUCACAACAACAAGAGGAUGUGUCGAUGUUCCAAACUGAUGGCCCGGAUAGGCCAAUGAGUAAGGCGGGAUCAUCUGUAGGAAAUUAA